UGGGGCUUGAGGCCAAGGGCCGAAAGCGAACGAGGGUGGGAAUGUUCAGUCUGUUACCCUGGCUCCUUCUCUUCGCGUACAGCUGAUUAGCAUGUUAGUACAACCCCAGCAGAACUGACUUUACCACUUAUUCUAACUCGGGAAAAGAAUGUAAAACCCUGGAUGCCCCGCUGACUCUCCUGAAAUUGGUUUUCCUCGUCUGUUUAAUGAGGGUAGUAAGUAAGAUAGCUGGACUGGGCUUCCUCACCAUUCAUUCACCAUGCAAAAGUUAUUUGCUGCCGGGUGCAAGCCUGUAAUCCCAGCUCUGAGCUGAGGGUCUCACUACAGCUGAUCUCAAACUUGUGAUCCUCCUGCAUUAGCCCCCCAGAGAACUGGGAUUUCAGGGAUGGAUUUCAGGGAGUCCAAGACAAAUGGUGAGGACACCGAGUGCUCUCAAGAGGAAGGAAGGAGAUGAAGUGGUCUAAAAGAGGUUGCUGCUAAGGCGAGUGGAAAGCGGUCCUGACUGCUGUGUAUUGUACCAUGCUGCUGACUGCAUAAAAAAGGAAGACUGUACAUCGUUUCUGUGUGUUUGUUUGGUUUUGGGUACUGGGAUUGAACUCAAAACUUUGUGCUCCCAAGGCAGGCACAGUGCCUCUGAGCUAAAUCCCUGACCCCAUCGUUUGUACCUGAUGGAAAUAUCACGGAGGGUGCAUAGAAAAUUCAGAACCAAUGGGCUGGGGAUUUAGCUCAGUGGUUUCUGAAGGACCCUAGUUAGCAAGACAGACUCCAUAUUGCUGCUUGACCCACCUGCUUGCCCUUUAGAUGAACUCAGAAGGAGGAAGCUUAGAAACCUCCUCCCCUUAGAAAGUCUCUUUAGAAACAAUUAAUCAACUACUGUUUUACAAAUGUUCUAACAGCAGGACGUUCCGCUUCUGUACCUUUUGCUUGCUUUACUAGUUCUAUCCCAUGGAGGGGGGCCUAGAAACUGCUGGCCUCAAAGGUGUAUAAAACAUGUUUG
rnacentral:lncRNA from 1 species